rfam:Toxocara canis scaffold916, whole genome shotgun sequence.
GGCCCUGUGGCCUAAUGGAUAAGGCGUCGCUCUCCUAAAGCGAAGAUUGCAGGUUCGAGUCCUGUCUGGGUCG